AGCAACUCUUAGGGCCUGUUUUUAGCUGGUUUUUCUGGAUGGAGUCUCAGCAAAAUUUGGAUGCUUAUUGAUAUAGGUGCCUCCAUGGAAACUGAGCCCUUCUGCAUGCCUGAUAAUCAUUGUUUUGUGUGACCUGAUCUUUCUACGUCCACAUAACCUUCCUGGAGACCUCCUUGUUGCAGAGAGAAAUGAGCUGAAGGGAAAAAAGAAUCAGGAUAAAACAUACUACAGUAACCCUUACUAAUGAAUGAAAGCAUCCUCAUGCAUUCUUCAAGUACCUGCUUUGAUAUCCGAGUACGAUAGAGCUAUAGGCUAAGCUCUGAUUUGGACCUUCAGUAUGUUAAUGCUACAGCAUUCAUUCACAGAUCGUUUCAUUAGUUUUAUGCCGUUUUCCUAAGCUGAGCUGGAGUAGUGAAGAAGCCUGGAAAACCCAGUAGUGCUGGAGGGGACUGUCACCAUGCAGUGAUGGAGAUGUGAGGCCAGGCAUCUGAGCCCAUUGUGAGAAAGGAUUCCUUUUCAACGUGUGUGCCAGAGAGAUCUGAACAGCAGCUACUUCAUCUCAGUCAUGAAAUACUGUAAUUUUUGUGAUGUACAGGUUGUACAGCUAAGGCCAUAAAACUUGGUGAAGAGAGAACCUCUUGAGAAGCCAUUUCUGCUCAUGAGCAUAUCCACUCAUGCCUUAUAUGUCACUAUUUGUCUUUUAUAUUUUGAAAUAUAUUUUUUGCAUGAUGGUUGUAGUUCAAAGCUUCACUGAAGGGAAUAACACUUGACUGAGCUGUUUUGAUUCUUGUAAUGCAAAAGUUUAUUUUUGGUUCUGUUCCUUUGUCAUCCAGACAUACACAUAUCACAUUGACUGAUAAAAGUUACUAGUAGAGAGGAAUCUGUCCUAAGAACAGCAUCUUUAGCAAUACUAAAGCUUCAGGGAACCUUUAUUAAGAUGCAGGUACCAAAUAACACCCAAUUUGAGUUUUCCACGCAUAUAGGGCUGCUGUGCAUCUACUCUCAACAGAUGAGAGGUACUAGAAAGGAAGUGUGGGUGGCAGGCUGAAAUGCAGAUCUCUGCGCUGUAUAAACAUCAAGGUUGAAGAUUCACCUCGCUCUGAUUUUUUCGGAUGUUAGGAUCCUGCAAAGGUUGUAACUGCUUUGACCAGCCUCUCAUGGCACCUCCAGACAGGCAACCCACACUCCUUGCUUCAGGGACUGCAGGCUCUCCAGGUUGGCUGCACAUCCAGCUCCACUCCUGCUGUUCCCCAUUGAAGGCAUCGAUUUGCCAUUUGACUUGACUUAGGGUCUCCUACUUAGCUUUGAGCUGCCACUCCAGAAGUUUCUCACAGGGCCUCCAUCAGCUGUAUGGAGAUGUCACAGCUACUCCAAGAGAUCUGACAUGGUGUCAGACACCUGUGGGCAGGCAACUGAAUUUUGCCUCAAGAAUUUACAUGGGAGCUAUGUGUCUAAGCUCUUGUUACAGUUAGUAGGGAUCUAGACCAGGAUCCAGAUCAGUAGAGCCUGCAGAGGGAUUUGGCUGACAAAGUUUAGAGGUUCACCUCAUGAAGAGCUGAAGACCUUGUGAGGCUCCAAUAAACCAAGAGCACAGUCUCCCACAGCUGCUGUGGCAGUGUAGGCAGUACUUCAGGUCCAGGCACUCAAAUUUAGGCAAGUUAAAUCCCAACCUUGGUGACUAAACGAAGAAUGAAAUAUAUAAAUAAGAAGACUAUGAAAGUGAUCAGGCUUUGUGCUAUCAUUUGUCACUUUCAUCUGGGUAAAGUAUAGAAAAACAUAAGCCUGGUGGAUGCGUAAGAUUCUCUGUCUCUCCACAUGCAAACACAUCCCCCUUUUCAUCAUAUCCCAUUAUGCUGUAUUACAUACACUCUCACAAAAUGUAUGCCUUGUCAAAUGGACCUACAGAUACUCCAGAUGAACAAGAAUGCAUUUGCUGUAUAAAAGAUGUUUUUUUUGCUACCGCAAAUGAGAAAUGUGGAUAUAUAAAUCUUAAUAUUUUGUCUAUGGUUUUCCGUGUUUUUGAUUCUAUCUCUACAGUGGGUAAAUGAAAUUAUUAGUAGUGUAUAAUAAUGAUUUUUUUUGCAGUCUUCUCUGCUCUGUUCUACAGUAUUGUUACAUCCUCGCCUGUUGCCAUAGAAAUGAUUGAUAUGUCCAAUCACAGCAUUCUUGCCAUACCCUCAUCUCUACAUAUUGUGUGCCUUGCUCUUUAAACCAGACUCUCACUUGGCUUUGUGAUAUUUCGGAUUAUACUCUGUAGAAAGAAAAAAGAUUGAGAGGGGGGGGAGAACUUUGGCAUUCAGAAGGCUGUAACUAAUCCAAAAGACAAAGUUACAUAUAUUAAUAAUGUGAAUCCACAUGAUUUUACUCUAAGUCUUGUGACAUUUGGUUCUUUUAUUAACCCCCGACUCCAAUAAGCUAUGACUCUGGGGGAAUGUUAGCAUCCUUUCAUUCGAUAUUGCAUGUAAUAAACAAUACAUGGAUUCAUAGCCACGGAAUUUGAAAAAUCAAAAGUAAAUUUGAAGAACUG
rnacentral:lncRNA from 7 species